GCGUUCGUAGCUCAGCUGGAUAGAGCAACGGCCUUCUAAGCCGUGGGUCGCAGGUUCGAGUCCUGCCGAGCGCG
rnacentral:tRNA from 1 species